rnacentral:rRNA from 1 species
AGAGUUUGAUUAUGGCUCAGGAUGAACGCUAGCUACAGGCUUAACACAUGCAAGUCGAGGGGCAGCAUGAUCAAAGCUUGCUUGAUUGAUGGCGACCGGCGCACGGGUGAGUAACGCGUAUCCAACCUUCCCCCUAGUAGGGCAUAGCCCGGCGAAAGUCGGAUUAAUACCCUAUGUUUUUCCAAUGAGGACAUCUGAGCUGGAACAAAGAUUCAUCGCUAGGGGAUGGGGAUGCGUCCGAUUAGCUUGCCGGCGGGGUAACGGCCCACCGGGGCGACGAUCGGUAGGGGUUCUGAGAGGAAGGUCCCCCACACUGGUACUGAGACACGGACCAGACUCCUACGGGAGGCAGCAGUGAGGAAUAUUGGUCAAUGGGCGUAAGCCUGAACCAGCCAAGUAGCGUGCCAGGAUGACGGCCCUAUGGGUUGUAAACUGCUUUUAUGCGGGGAUAAAGUUCACCACGUGUGGUGUUUUGCAGGUACCGCAUGAAUAAGGACCGGCUAAUUCCGUGCCAGCAGCGGC